rnacentral:tRNA from 2 species
CAUCAGAUGACUGAAAGAAAGUAAUGGUCUCUUAAACCAAAAAAUAGUAAACUAACGCUUACUUCUGAUGA